rnacentral:lncRNA from 1 species
UGUGCCCUGUGCGAUCAAGAACCUGUAACUCCUAAUCACCUAUUCGUCAGCUGUGUGUUCACCAUUCAGGUUUGGCAUCUCAUCGUCACGAGUCUGAACCUUCAGAAUUUGCAUACAGGCCAACUACCCCGCCUUGUGGAUUGGUGGCUGCGUUCGCGUGAGGGCCUGAACAAGGUGAACAGGAAGGUUUCGAUUCGGCUGUAAUGCUAAUUUCUUGGCAAAACUGGAAAGAACGAAACAGCAGAG